AGUCUAAUUGGGGUUAGUUUUUAAAAAAUCCUAAAACCUAAUCUAUCCAAUUAAAACCCCAUCAGCAGCCCACCAUAACUAAUGGCUCAACUCUUAGUCUAAGCCCAAUUGACCUGACCUGCCAGCCCAUUUCUUUCUUCUUUACCUAUCAACAAUUCAGUACAUAUUAACAGCGACCAUAAGCACAAAAAUGGAAAAACCCAACAAAACAGCAACAUCGGUCAACAACAAACACCAUCAAUAUCGUUGACCCAACUCCGAUCAAACCCCCGACCCGACGAAAAACUCAACCCAACAUCAAUUCGAACAACAACUAGCAAACCCCAAUACCUCAAACCUGACCCAGCUCCAACCCGCGAUUCCAGUGAUGAGGAAUCAUACGACCUCAACAACUCUGCAUCCAACUAUUUCAAAAUUGUACGAUUUUCAAACAAUUUUACAGCACAUCCCCUUAUCCCUAUUCAAAGUUUGAAUUUUCCCCUUUGAAAUCCCAGAAUUAACCCCAAAAAUUAUCUCUCCAACAUUGGUUGGAGCAUAAAUGUGAAUCCAAAUUCCCUUCUAUAAAAAGGGAUUCUUGAUAAAAAAAACAUGGAAGUCGGAGAAGGUUGAAAGUUUUUUUGAGAAAAAAGUCUAUUUUUCCAGUAAAAACAACUUUUUCGUGAUAAGUUCUCAUUUACGCAAAGUUUUCUCUGAGUUGUAGAGCCUUUUCCGGUGGUGGUAGAAGUUCCAUCGAAGAAUUAAUCCCCAUUUUGAUGCUUCUAAAUAGGUAACCUUUCACCCUUUUAGUUUUGACAUUCUUUUCUUAUUUUUUUGAUAUCUUAUUAGUAGUUAUAAUGAUAUGCUGGGAUUGACUGUUGUAGAUGACUUUUAUGGUCGUUUGAUACCUGGUGUGCUGGAAUUGAAUAUUCUAGAUGGCUUUGAUAGUCAUAGGUUUUGUUAGUGAUGGUUGUUAUUCUAAUUGAUGUGCUCGCUGCCAUUGUUCUGCGCCAUUAUGAAGUGGUUUUCAUUGCCAAGUUUUGAAAUCUAUACUCAUAUAUCAUUCCUGCUUUUGGCUUGUUGUCUGUAAUGCUUCAUAUAUUGGUGGUUAGUAAUUGGAAAAUCUCCUUGAUGUGAAUUAUUUAUAAUAUAUAGAAUCUCCCUGAAGCAUUUGCUCCAUGUUACAAGCUUCAAUUUGUUAGAAUAUGUAUGGUAAUUUGGAUAGAUGUUUUACUUGUCAAGAAAACUGUGCUCUAGGUCUAUUGUUUAUUUUAUUCAGGGAGAGUUAGUUGUUAUAAAAACUUUAAGAUGGAAAAGGCUAUGGUGUAUGUGAAGAUAGUUUGUUGCUUCAGUUUUGGAACCUAUUUCAUAUAAGGGCUGGACUUAAAUACGAAGUCACCUCUAUUUCAUAAUGGUUUUUUUAGUUGAUGUUCUAUUUUCUUUUACAUAUAUAUGAUGCUCAUUUGUUUAGCCCUUUUUGUUUUAUGGUUCCGGCCUAAAAGCCUUUUAGAAUCCUUCAUUUUGCUCUUGGUAGUUGCUUAGAUUGUUUUGUUCUCUCCAAGUGUGUUAGAGCCUCCUCUGAAUUUUCUUUACUCACAAUGUAGAUGAGAAUGGUGGAGUGGGUUUAUAGAAUGGGGAUAUUUCAUUCAAAGAUCCCUCUAUGACUUUCUUGGUGUGUGAGGUUCUAUUGGACCAACUCAAGAGAGGAACAGAAUGAAAUAAGUCUCUAUGCCAAAGCUACACCUUAAAAAGUAUCACGCAACCCUUUAGCCCUGGAUUAAAUUCAUUGCUAAUUUCCUCCUAUGUGUUAAAUUUGAAUAGUCUUCGAAAUUAUUAUUAUUUUUCAAAAGGAAUGUUAUAUUGAUAUUAAGUGAUCUUUAAGCUCUUUUAUUGAAUUUUGGAAGUGAAUCUCUUUAACUUUUUAAAGGAAGGAUGAAAAGGUCUUGUGAAUAAGGAGCUUCGCUGAGUCUUUGAUUGUUCCAUCAUUGGGUUGAAUUGUUUGGGCAUUUCAUAAUUCUAUGUAUGUCUGACUUCACCUCAAAACUAUUUUUUUUACAAUAUGAUGUAUUUUGUUUCCUUGAUAUCUUGGUCAUCUUUUUAAGUUUAUAUAUGUGUUUUUUAAGCUUUUCCUCAGUUGUACCGAGAAAGGGUUGAUGAAACUUUGAGGGAAAGGUAAUGUAUCUUAUUUUUCUUGUUAUUGUCCUAAAUGUUUGAUUAUAAUUUAAUACACUUAAAUCAUCGUUACUUCUACUUAUUCGGGUCUAUAAAAUUGAUUUCAAACUUCUUCCUGUUUAUUCGUUGAAGUCAAUUUACUUUUUUCUUUUUUGCCCAUUUCCAUUUUUGUUCUCUAGCUGUAGAAUACAAAAAAUUGGUUCUUUCUCUUUUGAAGUCAAAUGCUUAUUUUCCUUUACACUUGUGCAUUUUAUAUAUGUUUUGGGUGCGCACUAAUCUCCCUUCAUCUUUUUUUUUUUUGCAUGAACCUGCGUUGGAGUCCAAAUGGACUUUUUCCUCCUUGCAUUUUGUAACGGGCCAUUGAGGCCCAUCCUUUUGAAGAUUUCAAAAGAUGGUUCGAAAGGGGGCACUACCUGUCGUAUGAGUAAAGAUGGUAGAAGGCAAGACAUGUUCAAGCUCGUUGAUAAGAUUGCCAGAAGACCGAAAAGUUUCAAUCUUAUUCUUGCUUUAUUUAUGUAUUUAUAUGGGCCUCAAAGCCAAAGUUCUUUUUAAUACAAGUGAAGCAAAUUCGAGCCAAAGGUUUGAAAACAUAGAUUAGGACUAGUGAAAAAUGGGUUGAAAGCCCAAUUAGAUUAGGACAGGGUUCAUUGAUUUGGGCCGAAUGACCUAAGUCUUUUACUUUCUCCCCUAUCCCCUUUUUAGUGUUUAUUAGCUUUUCAUUUGUUUAUACUUGGUUAAAUAUCCUAUAAAGUCAUCAAAUUUAUUAUACAAAUCUUUUCCUAAAAUCACUUUCUUUUAAAAAUAAAAUCAACUUUUCUUUUUCAAAGUUAGACAAAAAUAUUUUCAAACAGUCCGGAUAACCGCAAGUUAGCGAAUGUUUUAGGUGCCAAAAAUCAUCUGAUAAUGCUAAUAGGAUUCUCUUACUUAGAUCUUUAAAUUUUAAACUAUUUUUUGUUUUGGAUCGUUUAAAGUAUCUUAUAAAGGUUUCUUAUUCCUUUUCAAAAUUAAGUGGCGACUCUUUGAAAGUCAAAAUUAUUGGCAAAACAAACACGAUCAAUAAUAGUUCAGUUAAACCUACUAAAGUUUAGAAAUCAUUUCAAUGUAUAAUCAGUUGGGAGUAGGAUUUAGCACCGAGCGAACCCAAAGAUGGGACUCACCUGCAACUAGAGGGUGAAAUCCUUAGAAGAAUUCCUUGCAUUCCAGAACUACGUAGCUAGUGUAGAUUGAGACAUCAACUUGCCUGUUGAGGGUUGAUGAGGUGUCUUACCUACUUGUUGAGGGUACCACCAUUCUCAUUCAGAGCACUUUCUAGGUGAGCAACUUGUCUUUUACCUGUGGCACGGUACUUGACACCCAUCCAACUAGGGUUACAGGUUGGAUCCCAAUUAGUUCAGAGAGGGGUAUGUUGGUUAGAUAAUUACCUCUCACAGUUUCAGAGUCAGGUUCAGUACAAAACUUAGUCCAGUUCUAAAGGAUCAGGAUUGUCAGACACAGUCACCCAAUUAUAAAAAUUCCAGUUAUCAGUAACCUCAGAUAUCAGAAACUCAGUUAUUAAAGCUUAGCACUAAGCUUCAGUGUAAUCUUAGAAAUAGUAUAGUUGUAUGCAGGUAACAUCGCAUACUCAGUAGCUAUAGCAUGUUAGUUAGUCAUGUACUCUUACUCAAUUAUAUUUUUAUCACUCAAUCAGUUAUUGUUCAUGCAUAUGAACCCAAGUAUACAACCUUACCUCACUUAGCAUACAAGUAUAUUCAAAGUACUGACGCAUGCUUUUUUUGUGUUGUGAUGUCUCAUAUGAUAGGUUCAGACGUAAGGGCUCCUGACCAUACUUAGCAGUUCAGACUAUCAGCAGCAGAUACAGUGGUUCAGACGUACGGGCUCCUGACCAUACUUAGCAGUUUAGACUAUCAGCAGCAGAUACAGUUGUAAAUCCUCAUAGUUUAAGGACAAAGUUUAAUUAUUUCAUUAGUUUAGUAUGUUUAGUAGCCGGAUUUAGUUGGGGACUUGUCCCAUCAACUCCAUAUUUAGACAAUUAGAGGCUUUUAGAAUAGAUUUACUUAGAUAAUAUUCAGUUUUGUUUUCCAUAUUUCAGUAUUCAUAUUAGUAUUUUGAGAAUCUUAUCACAUUUCAGUUGUACUUUUUCCCUAUUUCAAUAUUAUUAUUUAGUGCUC